rnacentral:rRNA from 1 species
UCGUACCCUGGGGCAGGGGCCGGGGUAAUGCAGGGGGGGGAAGCGUUGUGCGGAAUUACUGGGCGUAAAGGGCGCGUAGGCUGCCCGCUAAGUCGAACGUGAAAUCCCCGAGCUCAACGCGGGAACUGCGUCCGAUACUGGCGGGCUUGAAUCCGGGAGAGGGAUGCGGAAUUCCAGGUGUAGCGGUGAAAUGCGUAGAUAUCUGGAGGAACACCGGUGGCGAAGGCGGCAUCCUGGACCGGUAUUGACGCUGAGGCGCGAAAGCUAGGGGAGCAAACGGGAUUAGAUACCCCGGUAGUC